rnacentral:tRNA from 1 species
UGGGUUGUGCCUCAGGGGUAGAGUGCAUGCCUAGCUUGUGUGAGGCACUGGGUUCGAUUCUCAGCACCACAU